rnacentral:rRNA from 1 species
AACGCGAAGAACCUUACCUGGGCUCGAAGCGUAGUGGACUGAGGUAGAAAUAUCUUUUUCCCGCAAGGGACUGCUACGUAGGUGCUGCAUGGCUGUCGUCAGCUCGUGUCGUGAGAUGUUGGGUUAAGUCCCGCAACGAGCGCAACCCUCAUCUUCAGUUGCCCCCGGGUCAGGCCGGGCACUCUGAAGAAACCGCCGGUGACAAGCCGGAGGAAGGCGGGGAUGACGUCAAGUCCUCAUGGCCCUUACAGGCUGGGCUACACACGUACUACAAUGGUGGUGACAGUGGGCAGCGAAGUCGCGAGACGGAGCUAAUCCCCAAAAGCCAUCUCAGUUCAGAUUGCACUCUGCAACUCGAGUGCAUGAAGUUGGAAUCGCUAGUAAUCGCAGAUCAGCACGCUGCGGUGAAUACGUUCCCGGGCCUUGUACACACCGGAGUAC